AUCGUCACAUAUUGACAAUCAGGGCAGAGGAGCAACCAGCCAGGUCUCAAGCCAAGCUCGGUUGCUCAAAAUCUGAAGAAACAAGACCCAUGACGAUUAAUUAGGUCCCCAGCAGCUGAGGUACAUGACGGUCCUCAUCCCCUCCUCUGCCUUGUCGGCUCGCCUCCUCUCCGACGCCGCCGCCAACUUCUUAUUGGCCUGCGCGAAGCUGGGGGCGUUGGCCUUGGCGGCCCGGUGGAUGGAGCGCAGCGCGUAGUUCCAGCGGCAGAGACCCGCCUGGUCCUUGAGCGCCUCCAUCGCGCCCACGCUCAUCGCCACCAUCCACGACGCCUUCACUGCGGCCGCCAUGUCCUUCUCCUCUUCUUCUUCUCGGGGGCUUUUGCACGACCUGAUGAUUAGCUAGAGUGCUCGGUUGGUGAUCGCUGUGGUGCUGUGACCUGCGAGUGAAGAUUGUGUGAUGCUCGGAUGCUGUGUCGAGGUGAGCGGGGGCGCGGUGGGUUAAUAUACCGGAGGGAGGGAGGUCGAAGCAGGUGGCCGCUUGUGAGCAACCUCCAAAUUAAACUCAUUAAGGGGGUGUUUGGGAGCACUCCACUUCAAAUUUUUGAGCUCCACUCCACCAACUCCACCACAUUGCAGCUCCACUCCACCGACUCCAAAAAAAAUACCAGAGCUGUCCACAUGUUUGGCAAAAUGCAUAGAUCCAGCUCUGGAAAUAGAAGAUCUUGCUGUGUAAAGUCCAUUAUACCCAUGUGAAUGGGUCCCACUUAUCAGUGUCCUUUACUUCUUCCCUUCUUCUCCUUUGCUGGUUGGGAUCGAUUUUCUUCAUUCNNNNNNNNNNNNNNNNNNNNNNNNNNNNNNNNNNNNNNNNNNNNNNNNNNNNNNNNNNNNNNNNNNNNNNNNNNNNNNNNNNNNNNNNNNNNNNNNNNNNUACUUCUUCCCUUCUUCUCCUUUGCUGGUUGGGAUCGAUUUUCUUCAUUCGAGCAGGCAGGCCGCGUAGGACCGGCGGGCAGGCGGGGGCGGGCGGGCGGCGCGCGGCGGGCAGGGGUGGGCGACGCGCGGCGGCGGGCGGCGCGGGGUGCGGCGGGUGAGGAGCGGCGGCAGGCGGCGGCGGCGGGCGGCGCAGGGCGCGACGGGCGGGAGCGGCGCGGCAGGCAUGGCCGGCCGGCGCGACGAGAGCCUUUUUUAUUUCGCGAACAGUUACAUUGUGUAACGAGUGGCAGUGGUGGGUAAAUACCCACCAACUCCACGAGGAGGUCUGUAAAGUGGAUUUUUGGAGCACCUCUUGAGGUACUCCACAAAAAACGUGGAUCUACCCCUGCUCCACCUUUUUUCCUGGAGCCGGAGUUCCUGGAGCUAGACGUGUUUGGCUGCGAAAUUUUUGGAGUUGGUGGAGUGGAGCAAUUUUUCGUGAAGUGGAGUGCUCCCAAACACCCCCUAAGUCAUUAUCAUUGAUCAACUCAAUUAAAGGAGAAUAAUUCCAGUCAUCCUUAAGAUGUGUCAUGAGCAAUGUCCAGGAUUUAAACACACCUCACGAGCACAACUAGUUGAACAUAAUCACAACAUAAGCAUAACCAUACAUAGUCCAUCACAUUACAUAAAAAAGUUCAAGUUCUCAUACAUAACAAAUUUAUAGAGUUUUGCAGCGGAAAGUUAAUUCAUCGUGCUCAUACGAUACAAUACAAAAUAAAAAAGUUAACACUAUAUCCUGAUAGUGCCCUCAUAGCCAUGGCCAUCUACUUCUUCCUCGUACCGCCGUCCGCAGGGAAGAAGUACCAAAAACAGCAUCCGGCUGCGGAUCACCUGCAACAACUUAACGGCAGCACCGUGAGUAAAAAAGGUACUCAAAAGGUCUUAUCCAAAAUAUGGGUAUAUACUUGCCCGACUCUCAAGGAGAAUGCAUUUGGUUAAGUAGCAAGGAAUGGCAUUGGUAAUUAAUUUGCAUAAAGGCAUCUAAAUUUGAUGAAGUUAUAAUAAGCAAAAGACAUGGCAUUCUAUGAUCGCCCAGUCAAGCAUCAAGUAAUUGCAAUAAGUAAAGGUGAUCAUGAACAUGAGCUCAAUCUUACAUGAACUCCAUUCGAUAACUCUACGUUAAAGUCACAGUACAAGAGCGUGCUCUUUAACCAAAAGCGUGGCUAUUGCAAUAGAUCAUAACCCUGCAGGGGUGUACAACUUUUCCCAAACGAGAUAAGACCAACUUCCAUAACCCCGGCUGAGGAUAAGUGUUGAUUCAUGCCCCCGACCGCUCACAUACCCACACCCGGCUAUAAACGGACGGUCGGAAUGGAUAGGGGCACCAGAUACGGCCGAUCACACCUCAUCCCAUCCCGCACCGAAUCCAGUCAAGGCAAGGUGCGACUUAUGCUACUUAGCUUGCCAUGCCCAUAUUAAGCAUGUGGUUUGUACAGAAUAGUACUCAAGUAUCAAAGCGAUAACGAUCAUGCCUUAACCAACUCAAGCAAGACUAAGCCAAAUGAGCUCCAAUCUCAACAUGACCCUACCAUUCUUGCUCAAAUUCGAUUCAUCAUUUAUAGUUGCUCAAUUUUAAUCCAUUCCUAGCUAACCAAGUAUUAUUUAAUCAAGCAUCCUAUAACUCGUGAGUGGUGGUGACCUUGCCACCUCUCGACUUCUACCGAAACUAAGCAUGGAUAAGCAAAUUAAAUUCGUGACACAUAAACAAACAUACUUACCUAAAAAGAGUGGUUCUAAAUCAAGGAUGGAUAACGCAUCAAGUAGGAGCUAAGCAACAUAUAUAUAAAUAUUAACUCAUGCAAAUACAAGACACAUAUAAAUUAUUGAUCUAAAAUAGGGUUAAAGGAAUGCUUAGGUGCCUGCCUUGGGGUUCAAAGGAAGCGUCGUCGGCGACGGGCUCCGGCUCGGGCUCACCCACCUCUUGCUCCGGUGUUUCGAUCUCUACACGAAUGCAAUGAUCCAUAAUUAAUAAAAUGCAUGAAAGGUGCAAAAGAUGUAUUAGAUGCAUGGAAAAAGAAAGUAAACUAUUUUUAUCAUAAUAGUACAUCAAUUCAAAGCAUCUAGUACAAGGUAAAACACUUAAAUCCUACACAAAACAAUGAUAUAUUCACAUUUUACUCAGAAUGGCAGAAUCAUAAAUAACUCGUCAAGUUUCCGAAAAUGGCAUUGCCGGUGAUUCCGGCGACCGAUUGUAGUGGGAUUUGACAUGCACGGAGGUUUAGACGACAUCCAACAUCAAUGGAGAUAAGCUUCCAUGAGGAUUAAUGCAGGAGCUUCCAAUGAAGGAGAGAGGAGGGGGAAACCAUAGGGGAACCUCAUCAAGGAUGGGGAAGGAUGAUUCAGAGAGCCGUAAGUUGGAGUAGAGUGGCGAUGGAGGAGAUUGGGUUUGGACUUGCUUCACCAGAGUUGAGGAAGAAGAAAACGAAGAACAGCUUCCUGCAGCUUGAUUCUUGCAAAGGGGAGGUCGAUGUGGAGGAGGGGGAGCUUGUCCCUGGCCUGGCCAAGGCCUGGCCGGCCAGCUUCUGCUCUGGGUGACGACACUGGCGAGCAGAGGAGGCGGAGUGGCAGAUGCUCUUGGAAAAGAACAAGUGAGGGAGAGAGAACCGGAGGGGAAGCCUCGGGGGUUUUGUGGGAGGGGUGGAUGGCAUGGUGAUGGUGUUCGGGCAUGCAAGCGACGGAAAAUGGGCACGUGGGCCAGAAAACGGACAUCACAUCGUGAGGGAGAAGGCGUCAGGCGGAUUUGAUGAAGAAAAAUCGAUCGGUACGGAGAUUCCGAACAAUUUUAUGGACUUCUUCGGAAAAAAAAGUUACGGAGUUUCAACUCUCCCAGAAAAGAGAAAACUUCGGAGAAUCCGCGAAAAUCUCCAUAUACUUCAAAAACCUGCUAAAAUUCCGCAAAACUUUGUAGAAACUCUGCACAAAACAUCAACAACAACUAUUCUAAGAGUUUUGGAUGGAUUUAUGAAGACCAGGCUGCCAGGACCGAAACGAAACACACAGAACUGAUUAAAUAUGGCGAUUCAAAUUGGACCACCUAGAGAUCUCCAAAAAUCAUGAAAUAAAUCAAGAAGAUAGUAUAAAUCAAGGGUGAUCCAUUUUGCUCAUAGCUGGUAUCGUAGCUAUUGCAGGUUUGAAAUAAAAAUUCUUCCCGAAAUGUUAUUUUAGGGCUUUUAGGUAAGAUGUUUGGCCUCAAGAUGGUCUCUAAAAGUCCAGGAGAGUUACCUAAAUUUAUGUUUGGAGAAGUAGUAAUUUAUCAAGCUAUCUUCCAGCGUAAGUUAUACGGUAGAAAUCUAAGUUCAUUCACAAGGUAGAUGCUAAAGGAAGUUUUUAAUUUAAUUUCAAAUCUAAUAGUAAAAUAAUUGAGAUCGCGGACCCUGGUUUUCCAGGAUACCGGGGGCUCGAUCGGCUCGUUUACGCGCCGCAUCUCGGCUUCUUGCGCACCGGCCCAAGUGGCUCACUUGCGACUUGACUCUCGUCUUGUUUAUUUUGCGUUCCGCGUCGCGGGCACUGAGAAGGACGGAUGCGCGCGCAGCCGCAACCGCCAUCAUCAUCUUUGUAUGAAGCAAACUAGGGAUAGUUUUAUCCUACCCGUGAUGGCCGGCCGUGCAUUGUCUUGCUUUUAGCAAACAGGACGAAGGAUCCUAGCUACUCACCCGACUACCCGAGGGAAGAGCCGUCCAGGAACCUUAUCGAUUUCUUGGUGAGUUCGCCGAUUAAACUAACCCGUUUUUAACGCACUGGACAAAUGGCUUAGCUGCCGAUUGUUACCACGUGCUCUCCGAGAACAGUGAAACUGUAAGAUUGAGAAUGACGUGGCAUAACCAACGCUGUAGCCGGUAGGAGAGGACAUCGUUUUCCAGGAUACCAUGGGCUAGCUGUAAAUAUCCAUGGAGUGCUCAUGCAACACUGGUACAAAACUCGCUUUUAAUUACGGUUGGUAGGGGUAAAUUUCUCAAAAAUCCAUCCGAGAUAAAGUAAUCGAGACGAAAGGGGGUCUUUAGUCUUGGAUCGCUCAACCGGGAUCGGUUGGUCUUACCACCUGGGACUUAAGGGUCCCCCACAGGUGGCUGAUUUUUUUACCUGGGACUAAAGGGUCUCCCACGGAUGGCUGAUUUUUGAUCCAGGACUAAAGGGGGACUUUAGUCCCGAUUGGUAUUUAACCCGGGACUAGAGCCUUUACGUCACGGGUCCGAUUUUAUCCGGGACUAAAGAGAAUUGGACGAAAGAUCAGUUUUAUACUAGUGCAAUUUAUGCGACUAUUAACAAACACACUAUUUUUUUGAAAAAAAAAACACACACCAUGUUGACUUAUUGGAGGAGCAAGGGCCAUGGUGUGGCGUGGUCGCGUGGAGCUUGGAGCUUGCAUAGUGCACAGACUGCAAAGGCCAACACAAAAAUACUCCUUUAUCUAAAAUCGUGUUUACGGAAAUAAUUACAUCUUAAGGUGUGCCGUGGUGGGUGAAACUGGAUCAUGAUCCUACGUGUGCGGUCUAUCUGAUCCACCAGCCUGGUCGUUUGCCUAAUUGCUCCCAUGCCUCCUUGCUGAGACUCAGAUGCUCGUAUUAUCGUUCAUCAUAAAAGGGGGGGAAAACCAAACAUGCUUUCCCUACCGUGAUCUACUUCUAAACCAAACUUCAGCAGAUUGUUUAGUAGAUAGAAGAAACUUCCAAACUGAAACGGCUGCCACUUUGCCUCAGUACAAAUAUAUGUCGAGGUCUUCCUUACAACUUGGAGAUAAAUCUAAGAUCUCUUUUGAUGGGAGACCAUGGUCAGAUUGUCGUUGAUCUCUUUUGAUGGGAGAACAUGGUUGAUUAACAUGGCCUAGUUGUAAGGAGCGCAACGAUAGAAUUUCAGCAGAUUCACUUCCUUGAAUGAAGUGCCAGAAAUUUUCAUCAUCAUCAUACUAUAUUACAAUCAGAGAGGCCAACUGAACCGGCAUGCACGGCCUCAAGCCAAAGCUCGGUUGCAGAAGGCUGAAACAGACAGACGGCGAAGACUAGUUAGGUCCCCAGCAGCUGAGGUACAUGACCGUCCUCAUCCCCUCCUCGGCCUUGUCCGCUCGCCUCCUCUCCGCCACCGCCGCCGGAGCCAGCUUCUUCGCCUGUGCGAAGCUGGGAGCGUUGGCCUUGGCCGUACGGGGGAUGGAUCGCAGCGCGUAGUUCCAGCGGCAGAGGCCCGCCUGGUCCUUCAGGGCCUCCACCGCGCCCACGCUCAUCGCCACCAUCCACGACGCCUUGGCUGCAGCCGCCAUGUCCUUCUUCUUCUUCUCGGAGCUUUUGCACGACCUGAUGAGCUAGAGAGAGCUCGGUUAGCGAUCGCUGUGGUGGUGUGACUACCAUGUGAGUGAGAUUGUGUGAUGCUCAGAUGCAGAUGCUCAGAUAUAGCGGAGGGAGGCCGGCUGCAACGGUGGCGGCGAGAGCUGGUUUUCCAGAAUACCGGGGGCUACCCACAGGUUGCUUUUGCUUUGCCGCACCAAACCAAUCCAGCAGAAACGGCUCGCUUGACGCGUCUAGUCGUCUUGUUUAUUCGAGGCAGAAACGGCGGUUCGUGCGUUGCAGAUCACCCGCGUCGCGUGCAGAGAUCAGGACCCGGGCCGAACAGCUUCAGAUACGGGCGCCACCCACCCAGAGUCCCAGAUCCAGCGAUCAGCGCCGCGCCAGUUCCACUGCCCAAUCUCUGUAUCUAGACUGUUUGGUCCAGAUAUGCGUACGGGCCAGAGACUACCCUACCUUUUCUAAUUACGAAGCUUAGUACUGCAAUUAGUCCCAGUAAGCAUCAUCAUAGGAAUAGGCAGUAGUAGGAAAUUUCUGAACUCCCUCGAGGCCUCGAGUAAAGCCUUGUCCAGGAAUCAGGAGUGGAGUCAAAAAGCCAAAAAGUCAUUUUUAUCUUUACUAGGGUCUAGAGCUCAACAGUGCUUUUUUUAAAAAUUUUUUUGACCGAACUACAAAUUUUGCUGUGGUUUCCAGUAUACUGCGGGCUGCCGGGCCCAGUCUCCUUUGGGACGUUUGCUGAUGCAAUGCAAAUGAAUGCGACAAACAUGCGUAGAAACAAAUCUCAUUAUUUCACCUCUCCAUGAUCCCCUGCUAAUCGAUUUUUUUAGCAAUCUUGUGCAUUUACUGUUCACAGUUGUCAGUUGAUAUAGCCUUUUAGUUCUUUUGUUAGGAGUUAGGAAUUGUGAUCUAAUAAUGCAACGUCUGCACUGCUUUUCGCUAUCUGGAUAAUGUUUGAAUGCUGAAACCAUCAAUUGUUGUCAUUUGAUUAUGGCUGGUCUUUAUCUUGACAUUUUUGUAAUUAGCCAAUACAUUUCUUUUGUACUGAAUGAUCAUCGCCUGUAGCUUUUCAGAAACUUUAACUUUGCAUUUUUUGAGUUUUCUGUUUCCUAUAACUAACUGAGGUGAUAAAAGAGUACAUCCAAAAUUAGGUAUGAAAACACAAGCAAUCAGGUAUGUCUCUUUUCAGUACUAGAAUAUAUCACCGACAUAAGUUGCUACAAUAGUUGUCAGCACUAUUAAGUUAAGCAAAUUGUGUCCAGCGUUGUCUUGCACCGUUUGUUAGCUUCUCAAUUUCCUUCAGUUAAGAAAUUUGUUUAAGACUUAUCUGGUGUGGAUGUUUUCCAUGAGCUAAAACAAAGAAGGCUCUUGCUUGGCCUGACAGGUAGCAGUAGACAUCAUGAAGGUCUUCGGUCUUCCUCUUUGUUCCUGAAUCAGACAACUAUAAAGCUACAAGUGUUGUUUAUUACAGAUAAAUUACUCUAGAAAACUACUGUACAAUAUCCAAUUAUGUUGUCACUUGUAGCUUUGAGUUGGAUGCAUAUAGUGUUUGGUUUUAUUUCUGAGCUAGGAUGAAGCCAUAUUUCCAUAUGAUCUAGCGGUAGAGGUAGAUGCAUUGUGAACAUUGGUCUGAUCACUACUUCACUGGUCACUGACAUGCGAGAGCAGAAACACCUUUCAUUUCUUUGAUGUCUUGCAUUCUCAGUUUGCAGAUUUAACUUCGGAGGAAAAAAUGCAAUGGCAGGGUCUACGUGAAGCUUGUGAAAAGGAGUUAAAGUCAUUUUAAAGUCAUAAUUUGUUCUGUGCCAAAGUUCCUAAUGAAGAGACUUGUAUGCCAAAGUUCAUAAUGAAGAGACUUGUAUUCCAUUUUUAUGUUAUAUUAUCUAUCUGUACGUGUGAUUGGAGAUGGCCGUAUGUGAUGUGAUGUGAUGGUGGAUGGAUUAGCUUGGUUUGAUAUUAGAUGGUACUUACAUUGAACUUUGCAUGAAUUGGAUUCUAUCUCAAAUAUUUUAUCAUUUCAUAAUGUUGAUGCAGGUCUUCACAUAUUGUAUGAUUUUAUCUGUACGUGUGGUUGGAGGCGUGAUUGGAGAUGGCCUUAUGUAUUUUUUAUGAAUAUUGUAUGAAUUUUUAUUUCAAAACGUAUAUAUUAUAUCUCCCCAGGAAAACUCUCCGUGCGUGCAUGGAAAUACGGAGCAUAUGUAUCUAGUCCAAAACGGAACGUGCAUGGAAAACUCUCGUGAAAAUACGCAGCCUUCCAAACGGCAACGGGGUUCAUUCUCCCAUGCGGGGACAUCUCCCGAGGGGGAGGCGGGGAUGCGAUCUUUCAGAAAAAUCGCUGUGGGGGGUUUUGUUCCCUCGAUAAAUUUACCUCUGCUGCCAAACUAGCCCUAAUCGAGUUAUUUUCUGCAGCUUGUUGUUCAAUUCAGUACAAAGUUGAGACCACCAAACUUAAAUGCAGGCCUUGUCUGUCACGCUGCUUCACCACAAGCACGGCUUUAUCUCUAAAGUAGGAGACGAUGGUUGAAUUCUCUUUUGAUGGAAGGUCACGGUUGAUUAAUGCGGAGGUCUACCCGAGUACUCCAAGGCUCAUACGGAUAGGACUGGAAUUAAGCUCAGCUGCUCAGGCCACCAUUUCUUUUUUGUUCUUUACUAAUCUUGUUACGAGCUCAGCUCAAAGAGAUCAUAGCAAUAGCAAGCACAGUGGCAGAACACCCAUAAUCGUGCACUAGAAUGAAGUUGAGAAGAAUUUUCAUCAUCAUCGUGGUAUGUUACAACCAGGAGGAGCAGCCGGCCGGCCAGGUCUCUCAAGCCAAGCUCGGCUGCUGAAACUGAAAGCAGAAGCAGAGGACCUAUGCCUAAUUGGGGCCCCAACAGCUGAGGUACAUGACGGUUCUCAUCCCCUCCUCGGCCUUGUCCGCUCGCCGCCUCUCCGCCGCCGCCGCCGCCGUCGCCGGGGCCAGCUUCUUGGCCUGUGCGAAGCUAGGAGCGUUGGCCUUGGCCAUCCGGUGGAUCGACCGCAGGGCGUAGUUCCAGCGGCAGAGCCCCGCCUGAUCCUUGAGCGCCUCCACCGCGCCGACGCUCAUCGCCACCAUCCACGAUGCCUUCGCUGCAGCCGCCAUGUCCUUCUUCUCCGGGAUUCGCAGGUCUUGUCUAGUAGAGAGCUCGGUUGGUGAUCGCUGUAGUGAUGUGUGUGAGGUUGUGUAGUUGCUGUGUUAGCGGUGGAGAGGCGGGCGGGUUAAUAUAGCUGAGGGAGGAGUGGAGGACGGCGGAAUCAGGUGGCCGUGGACGCUGGUUUCCCCGGAUACCGGGGGCUCUCUCUCUCUCCCUGCUUGGUUACGCCGCGGCUCGCUUUCUCCCGCUGUCCCGCACCGGCCCAGUUGCUCACGUUGCGCGCGGAGACAAGCUGGUCAUUGUCCCACUGCCGCAAUGCAUCUCUGUAGUCUGUAUCUGGACUGUUUGAGCUAGAGAUGCGUACUGAUCAGUAGAAAUUUACUUUUCAAUUUAGAAAGCAAUUUCUCUCUGCAUGUGGUGGGCCGGCCCUUCUGCCGUCCACUGUCCUGCUUUCAGCGAACAGGAUGAGGGAUCUGCCAGAUUUUACAACUGACUCGAGGCGUCCAGGAGUCUUCCUCUCGCGUUCUUGGUUAGCCGCACUGAUUAAACUAAUCCGUUUUAACGCGCUGAAUCACAUGGGUUAGCUGCAGAUUGUUACUACAUGCUCUUGGACUAGCACUGACUGUCAGAGCGCGACAUGGUGGGAUUUCCGGACGCCAUGGGACAUGGUUUACAGGAUACCAUGGGCUGUAUGGUAUAUCCGUUGGAGCGAUCGCUGAUGCAAUUUAUGUGACAGAAACAAAUGCUGUUACUUGAACACAUACGAACUGUGCUGUACUGCUGUGGCCUGUGACUCACAGCUUCUGCAUGAACCAGCAUACGGUCACAAAGACAAUCAAAUUUUUGUGACACAAUUAUCUUUCUCCAUCGUCUGCCUUCGAUGCCCCCUUUGCCGUGAUGGAGAUGCUAUUUCCAUGAAAAAAUCACGCUUUUCCCUGCCAUGAUCUCCUGUGAAAUCGUUCUGCUGCUUUGGCAGGUUGCUUACUGCCAAACUGAAACGGAGGCUUUGGUUCAUCACAGAAUGUUUUCCCGUUAAAACUUAGAGAUCCUGUGCAGCUUCAUUUUAACGUGAGGCAAGGAAAUCGCUGACAUGGACAUGCUUGAAAUUAAGCUCAGGGAACCAUUUGGUUUGUAUUAGCUUACUUAGUAUAUGUUAUGACCCUGUAAUGAGCCACCGGCAAUUCAGCAUGAGUUGAGCUGUAGAAAAUACUGUGAUCUUUUUUGUCGAGAGGUCAUCAAAGAAGAGUUCAAAAUCUGAGAGCAUCAUCUCAUACUUGCGUCGAGGGUUCAGCUUUAGCACGCCAAAGCCUCGAACCACACAAACAAAGUCUCGUUACGAGUUCGAAGGGAUGCAUGGUAGAAAGCACAGUAGCAGAAGCAUUCAUAUACUCGAUUAAACUGAAAGAACUUUUCAUCAUCAUCGUCGUCGUCGUCGUCGUCGUGUAUUUACAAUCAGGAGGAGCAAGGCCAGGUCUGAACUCCAAAGGCAAGAUCGGUUGCUCAGAGGUGAAACGGAAAGGAUCUACGCACGCCUAAUUAGGUCCCCAGCAGCUGAGGUACAUGACGGUCCUCAUCCCCUCCUCCGCCUUGUCCGCCCGACUCCUCCCCGCCGCCGCCGCCGCCGGGGCCAGCUUCUUGGCCUGCACGAAUCUGGGGGCGUUGGCCUUGGCGGCCCGGUGGACGGAGCGCAGCGCGUAGUUC
rnacentral:lncRNA from 1 species